rnacentral:lncRNA from 1 species
UCACCCAGCUGUUAUGCCGCUUCUGCCUGCAAGAUGAGAAAGACACCUCCCCUUCCCAGAGGGUGCGUCACCGGAGCAGAUGCCCGGGGCGGUUGGAGGCUCCCGGGCUCCCGCUGACUCAUCAGAAAGGCCUGCCGCGCGGCCCGGGGGGCGGGGGAACGUGGGGGACCGCGGGGAGCUGCCGGGCAGGCGGCAGCCGAGGUCGUUUGAGGCGCGCAGAGCCGGAAAACCCCACGGAGACGGCUGGGCGGGGGCGGGGCGAUCGGCACUGACCAGGUCACCUGCAGCGCGGGCUGACGGCGGGCGACUGAAGGAGGGAGCAAGUCUCCCACCCCCAGCAGCCGGCGGCCGCUUCCGAAGUCUGCCCCCUUCCACUGCGGAGCGGCGCCCCGCGGGCCCCCAGCCAGCGCGCCCGAGGCGCCCCCGCCCCGUGUCGCUCGCGCUGCGUUAUUGGGAGAAGGCGGUUCCUGAGCACCAGCACGGGCCUCGGUGACACCGGAGGUCGCUGGGGUCUUCCCCUUCCCCUUAAGACUCUGGGUCUGUCUGUGGGAAGAGCUUUCAUUCCCCACCCCACUCUAUGCCGACCCUCUCCGGGGGAGGCUCCACUGGCACUGUAGACACCACGUGCUGGGUAAAAAGGCCUGGUCCCAGCGCUUCCCUGUCACUGACUGCUAACCACAAGGCGCCGUGGCACUCAGGAAAUGCGGCAGGGGGGCUGGAGAACUAUCAGGAAGGGGUGUGGGCAGAGAAGAGGCUUCCACCCUGUCUUGGAACACGGACACAGUCCAUGGCAUUCAAAAGAGGUGGGAGGCUCCUCUGUGCACGUGCCACUGAUGGAGAUGGUCACCAGGGAGUGUCCAGGUCAGACCGCCACAGAAGAGUGCAGCCUCCUGGCCUUCAGACCCAACUGGGACAAACCCUGAGAACAGCCUUGGCAGACCUCCAGGGGCAGCUGGACUCCCUGAGGCUGGAUGUUGCAGCCUCUCCCAGGCAUCCACUCUGCAGCUGAGGCCAAAGUUUCCAACGGGAAGGGAGGGUUUCUCAUCAACCCCACAUCCCUGCAGGGGGCCCCAAGGCGGAUGUGUCACCAUCCUCUGCAACGCUGGGCCUCAGAGGUGGAGGAGGCCCAGCCAUGGCCAGAUGGGGGAUCUGGGGAACAGGUCCUCUGCUUUCUGGGAAAAUAGAGGAGAGUCUCCGAGUCUGGGCCUUGCCACUCCUCACUCAGCAUCUGACCAUCCCCACCUCCUGGAUCUACAGGGUUCAUAGAGGAGGACCCAGAAGAGGGAAAGUCAGGCUGAGGAACUUGGCCUCCCUGCUGCAAGGGAAAUGACAUCGGUUACCAAGGAGGUGACCAGCUAUCCUUUUCCAAGACUGAAAAGCAGAAAUACGGCCCUGAGGCUAGAGGGUCUAAGAGAACAAUAGGAAGAAUUUCCUGACAAAGGACAAUGUUGCCUAAAGGACUCAGGAAGCUCUGUGAAAACAGGAGACUCCCGAGCAGAGCACCAGACCCUUCUCCACCAGGCAGUGUUUUUCCCAUAUGACAGGUGAGAAAACUGAGGCUGAGAGACAUGUAAUAACUUGCUGAAGCAGCAACCAGCACACCAUAUAGCUGAAAUCUGUAGAUCAGCAGUUAAAAGUGGUAGGGCAAGUCCUCUCUGACUUUCAGCGCUAAGAGCCUAGGAUUCUGUGUUUUUCUGCUUAAGCCUGGGAAUCAGAGUCCUACAAAAGCCGCGCCUAAUCCUGGGGGUGUGGGCUUUAAACCCAGAGAGAAAGCAUGUUAUUGGAAUACUCCUGCACUUUUCUCCCUUUGAAUCCCACCACGGAAAGAAAAUUCUGUGACGUGUACCCAGUAUUUAUUGGAGGGUAUUUCCUAGCAAGAAAAUGAGGGCGAUUGACCAGGCACGGUGGCUCACGCCUGUAAUCCCAGCACUUUGGGAGGUCAAGGUGAGUGGAUCACAUGAGGUCAGGAGUUCGAGACCAGCCUGACCAACAUGGAGAAACCCCGUCUCUACUAAAAAUACAAAAUUAGCCGGGCGUGGGGUGGCGCAUGCCUGUAAUUCCAGCUACUCCUGAGGCUGUGGCAGCAGAAUCGCUUGAACCCGGGAGACAGAGGUUGCAGUGAGUUGAGAUCAAGCCAUCGCACUCCAGCCUGGGCAACAGAGUGAGACUCUGUCAAAAAAGAAAGUGUGGUACAUCUAUACUAAUGGAGUACUAUUUAGCCGUCAAAGAAAAAAAAGAAAAGAAAAAGAAAGAGAAAGAAAGAAAGAAGGAAAGAAAGAAAGAAAAAGAAAAUGAAGGCGAUUGUCAACAGCCUCUGGAAAUACAGAGCAGGGUCCAGAAAUGGCCCCUUCUUAGAUGGCGGGCUGGACAGUGCUGCUCCUUCUUAGCCACUGGCGGCAGAAAGACAAAGCCUGGUAAUUGUUCUUGGGAUUCUCCCUGUCACCUCUCCUUGUAGGUCACAAGCUUCCUGAUGCGACAGCCCGUGGGACUACUAGAAGGAAAGAUACUCCUUUUCCCAUUUUACAGAUCAGGAAACUGAGACUGGACAGAAACACCACCAGGAUUGAACUGUGAAUGGAUCUGACUCCAACCCACAAAUUCUUCACCUGGUCUCGAAAAGAGGCCCUGGCAACCUACUGCGCACCAGAGGGGAACCCGCCCGCCGUCCCAGGCCGGGCUCUCCCUGCUGCGGAGCGGCCCGGGCGCGGCGGGACAGGGAACGGAAGGAACGGGCUUGGCGCGCACUCGCCGAGGCCCAGGCAGGAUUCGAGCGCCAGGGAGGCGCCCAUUUCCCUUCCCCCGCGCCUGGGAACGCGGUGCUGGGGGCGGGGCCCGACCGCUGCCCCCUCCAAACGCCUCGACCGCCAGGUGCCCCGAAGCCCGGCCUCCCCUCCCACCCCCGCGCCUGUUCCCGGCGCAGCCCGAGCCGUGGCAGUCACGUCUCCCCAUCCGGCCC